UUUUUUUUUUUUUUUGGCAUUUUUUUCAGAAUGUCAUGUAAAUGAAAUCAUAUAGUAUAUAGCUAUGCGUGGAAUUCUAAUGUGUUUUUUUCUUUUUAACUCCAAAGAGUUUGUUUUGUAGUAUUCAAAAUACUUUAUUAAAGAUUUGGUUCAAUCUCAAAAGAGCAGUACAGUGUAGGAGGAACAGAAAUUGUGACUCUCACUUUCUUAUGUGGAUGCACCUGGUAUAACAAGGUCUUCUGGAAACAAGCCUUCAAAAAGCCAAAGUCACUACUUAACUCUCUCCACUUCUCCCUUUUCAACACGCCACCUCUAUCCUUUUUGAAAUGAAUUUUUUGUUUGAAAGACAUGAACUUUUAAUCUGUAAUAUAUAAUGUAAUAUUCUCCCAUUCUAUUCACUUUUCAUGUCAGAAUUUUUUAUAUUUUUCAAAAAAGAUUUUUAUUUAUUCAUGAGAGACACAAAGACACAGACAGAGAGAGAAGCAGGCUUCCCGUGGGGAGGCCGAUGUGGGACUCGAUCCCAGGACCCCGGGAUCACGCUCUGAGCCAAAGGCAGACACUCAACUACUGAGCUACCCAGGUGUUCACUCAUUUUCUUUUAAAAAAUACUGGUCAUGGGGGAUCCUUGGGUGGCGCAGCGGUUUGGCGCCUGCCUUUGGCCCAGGGCGCGAUCCUGGAGACCCGGAAUUGAAUCCCACGUCGGGCUCCCGGUGCAUGGAGCCUGCUUCUCCCUCUGCCUGUGUCUCUGCUGCCUCUCUCUCUCUCUCUCUCUCUCUCUGCGUGACUAUCAUAAAUAAAUAAAAAUUUUAAAAAUAAAUAAAUAAAAAAAUAAAAAUACUGGUCAUGACCCACCAAACUGAUUUCAUGAUUCACUGAUGAGUCUGAAAAAGUAUAAAAUAGGAUUUUAUUAAUGCACCACAACUGUCUUAAGUACUCCCACUCUGAGCUUGGGUGACACCUGAAGAUGAAUGGAUAUACAUGAAGUUAAGCAGGAUCAAUUGGACAUUUUCUUCCAGGGGCCUGUGAAGUAAAUUGCCUCUAUUCAGAAACUGGUGGUCAUGGUGGGGAGGGGCAGUGAGAAAUGAGACAUAUUUGUGCUCUUCCCUGUGUAGCCGUCCAGUGGACUGGAAACCUUCACAGUAUUGGCCUGGCCUGCUCUGUGAGGUGGAUCAGCUCUGAGGUGGCCUGUCGGGAGAGGGCCUUUGGGUCUGAGGUAGCAGAAGCCACUGCAAGCUAUCGUUCACAUGAAAUUAGUCAAAAGCAGGUCCAAGCACAGCUGAGAGAGCUACGACCAGGCAACAUGAAGCAUGGGUAUGGCCUGGCUUGCCAAGUGAGUGCUGGGGAAAGCCAGGGGGAGGCCCAUGGUGGAUAAGCGAAGGCAUUGUCUCAGGAGGUCAGGUGGACUCCAGGAGGAGACAAAAUAGUGUUGUGUGUAUGGUUGUGCACAGACCAGAAAAACAAUGACUAAAGGGCAGGAUGGAGGAUAUUACAACUGUCUUAGGUUGCUUGGAGAGAGGCACCAAGGAAGGGCUUGUCUAGGUCAGAGCCUGAGAAUGCAGAGACGAAUAACCCUGUAUAGCAGUGUGGAAGAGCUGUGGUCAUCUCCCUUCUUUAGAGUGAUCACUGCAUUCUUAAUCCUCCUCUUCAGUCUAUGUCCAUUCUCCUUGCAGUUGGCUGAAGAUCUAUACAUGACCCUGGUCAGUACCAGCAGACCUAAAGUCUAUAAAUCUACAGAAGACCCUACAGACUUGGAAAGGCACACAUCUUUUUUUCCCUUUGCUCUGGAAUAUUAAUCAGGACAUCUCAUUUAGUGAGAGAACCUAUUUUGAGGGAGACACUUGCUCUCUCGCUCCUCUGAAACAUCACCUUCAUCCUGAGCCACUGUGAGCAGCUGGAUCCCCUCGGUCUGUCUUAGCUUGCAGCUUCCAGGCAUUCACAACAGUUUCAUACUGUGCCAUACAGCAGCAUCUUGAGAGGCUUAGUUUAACUAUCAAGUUCACCUGGGAAAAUGUCAUCCUAAUCCAUUGGAAUGGUGGAUUGCCAACUUAGUUCACUGGGAUCACCUGAGAGCCUUUAAAAAGCCCAGUGUUGGGCGUCGCGGGUGGCUCAGCGGUUUAGUGCCGCCUGCAGCCCAGGCCCUGAUCCUGAAGACUGGGGAUCGAGUCCCACGUCGGGCUCCCUGCAUGGGGCCUGCUUCUCC
rnacentral:lncRNA from 1 species